rnacentral:rRNA from 1 species
AUACGUAGGGGGCGAGCGUUAUCCGGAUUUAUUGGGUUUAAAGGGAGCGUAGGUGGGAUAUUAAGUCAGCUGUGAAAGUUUGGGGCUCAACCUUAAAAUUGCAGUUGAUACUGGUUUCCUUGAGUACGGUACAGGUGGGCGGAAUUCGUGGUGUAGCGGUGAAAUGCUUAGAUAUCACGAAGAACUCCGAUCGCGAAGGCAGCUCACCGGGCCGGAACUGACACUGAUGCUCGAAAGUGCGGGUAUCAAACAGGAUUAGAUACCCUGGUAGUCCGCACAGUAAACGAUGAAUACUCGCUGUUUGCGAUACACGGUAAGCGGCCAAGCGAAAGCGUUAAGUAUUCCACCUGGGGAGUACGCCGGCAACGGUGAAACUCAAAGGAAUUGACGGGG